ensembl:lncRNA
AUGGAGCCCCUCCCUGCCUGCCCUGGCACACUCCAGGUACACUGUGUCCCGGGAUGUGGGGUGGGGGUGGGGGGUGGAAACCUUGCAGACACCCCAGGAGACUGGGGUGUAGGAAAGGUCCCCACCCCCCAGGAAGAGUCCUGGUUUGGGCAGACAUCUGAGCUCCCGCCCUGCGGCUGUCAUCCUCACAAUGGCCCCACCAGACCCGAGGGGACAGAGGCCCAGAGGAGGAAGGAGAAGCCUUGUGGCUGGGUGGCAGGAUUCACCAAAUUUCUACUUCCAUCUGCAACUAACAGUUACGACCCCCCACCAUGCCAAGACCUCCAGAGGCCUCCCAGAGUGGUGGGAGAAGGGGACGAUCAACUUGUCUGGCGGGCCACACCUGCCGGGCUGGGUGAGGUGAAUGCCUCUCCCGAGUGGGCAGAGCCCAUUCAGGUCCGGCCGGGGCGUGGGGGGCGGCGCGAAACGCUAGAAUGGAGGGGCGAGAAGGCAGAGGGCUGCGCGAACCGGCCACGUGGAGGUCCAGAGCGACAAGCAGGGGAGGGAGCCGCGAGUAGGCCGUAAGCUCGCUCCUCCCGCUCGAGGGAGCCUCCGAGAGAGUUGAGUCGUCGCUGACCGCAGGCUGCAAGAGCGGUUGAUCUGGGAAAUUCCUCGCCUCUGGACCGCACCCGCCCUUGAACACCUCCCGGUCUCUUUGGGCAGAGCGCAAGCCAGACAGAGCUGGGGACAGUGAAGUGGCCAUCCUCAGCCCUGUGUGUGCCAGGAGCCCCCCUCCCGGGGGGUGGGGGGCGGGUGGCCCCGCUGCAGGAGGGCAGGGGCGGCAGAGGGAGCCUGGCGUGGGCGGCUGGGACAGAGUCCUUUUUGAAGGAGGUGGGGACCCCGUGAAGUACGUGACUUCUGAC